GGUUAACUGUCUCCUUUCUCCAAUCAGUGAAACUGAUCUUCCCGUGAAGAAGCAGGAAUUAAUUUAUAAGACGAGAAGACCCCAUGGAGCUUUAAACCCAAUUACAUCCUUAUAUUUAAAAUCUUCAUAGCUUUUAAGGUGUUGUAUAUUCGGUUUUAGGUUGGGGUGACCGCGGAGCAUAAAUAAGCCUCCACGAUGAANGGGAAUAUUUCCCGUAUCUAANAACUAC
rnacentral:rRNA from 1 species